rnacentral:rRNA from 1 species
GCAUAUCAAUAAGCGGAGGAAAAAGAAACUAACAAGGAUUCCCCUAGUAACUGCGAAGUGAAGCGGGAAAAGCUCAAAUUUAAAAUCUGGUGGUCUUCGGCCAUCCGAAGUUGUAAUCUAGAGAAGUGUUACCCGCGUCGGACCGUGUACAAGUCUCCUGGAAUGGAGCGUCAUAGAGGGUGAGAAUCCCGUCUUUGACACGGACUACCGAGGCUUUGUGGUGCGCUCUCAAAGAGUCGAGUUGUUUGGGAAUGCAGCUCAAAAUGGGUGGUAAAUUCCAUCUAAAGCUAAAUAUUGGCGAGAGACCGAUAGCGAACAAGUACCGUGAGGGAAAGAUGAAAAGAACUUUGGAAAGAGAGUUAAACAGUACGUGAAAUUGCUGAAAGGGAAACGCUUGAAGUCAGUCGCGUUGGCCGGAAAUCAGCCUUGCUUUUGCUGGGUGUACUUUCUGGUUGACGGGCCAGCAUCAGUUUUGACCGGUGGAAAAAGUCCAAGGGAAUGUGGCAUCUUCGGAUGUGUUAUAGCCCUUGGUCGUAUACAUCGGUUGGGACUGAGGAACUCAGCACGCCGAAAGGCCGGGUCUUUGACCACGUUCGUGCUUAGGAUGCUGGCAUAAUGGCUUUAAUCGACCCGUCUUGAAACACGGACCAAGGAGUCUAACAUGCCUGCGAGUGUUUGGGUGGAAAACCCGGACGCGCAAUGAAAGUGAAAGUUGAGAUCCUUGUCAUGGGGAGCAUCGACGCCCGGACCAGAAGUUUUCUGACGGCCCUGCGGUAGAGCAUGUAUGUUGGGACCCGAAAGAUGGUGAACUAUGCCUGAAUAGGGUGAAGCCAGAGGAAACUCUGGUGGAGGCUCGUAGCGAUUCUGACGUGCAAAUCGAUCGUCAAAUUUGGGUAUAGGGGCGAAAGACUAAUCGAMCCAUCUAGUAGCUGGUUCCUGCCGAAG